GUGGCAUCAUGUGGAAUGGCUGUAAUGAGGGAUGUCACAUCAGGGACAAUGGGUGAAAUGGGCACAAUUAAACUAUUCAGGGCUCUAAAGUCCUGAACUAAGCGAUAUGCUGGCCAGUGGUGUUGGGAGUGGGUCUGGUGUUGUUCUUGCCUACAGGGCAUAUUUUGAGAAAGGUGGGGUUGUUGGGGUGUGUGGGGUUUCCUGGGGUUUCCUGGGGUGUGGACACUCAUUCCUCCAGUGGCCAUAUUGGCCACAGUUGAAACAAGUGUUCCUGUCUAUUCCUCCUUGGUUACCCCUGCCCCUAUAACCCUGAUUUCCCUGUCUCCAUCCCCUUGCCCCUCUUUGACCACCCCUUCCACGGGCUUUAUGUGCUCCAUCCCAUCCUCGCUCUCAGCCUGUGUAGCUGGACAUAAUAUGUUGCAAUCCCUGAGCAUAAUAAGC